UGUAUGGAUUUGUAUGGGAACUGUUGAGUCAUGGCCGAACCACUGAUUGAGAACCAGGGAAAAGGACCUGGUCAGCCCUGGGAGCACAGUUUAAGCAGAUCUACAAUGUGAUUACAUGCACGAGAGAUCUGAGGUCUGAUGCGGCAGUGUGUACGCCAAGGACAUGACCGGACCGUGUGACAAACGGGUAACAGUGGUCACUGGGAAGCUUAACAUCGUUAUGAAGCAAGAGAUGAGCCCAUAGGGAUACUGGCAGCUCAGAGGAUUUGCACCAAGAUGGUUUUUGAGGAAGCCAAUGGCAAGAAACUGGAAAGUAGGAAUGGUACAUCAAGACAAUUGGAAGUGAUCCUGCAGAGAUGAUGCCGGCUGUUCAGUGUGCAACAAAAACUGGGCUUCACUACAUCUCUGGAAGAUUAGUAAACACAUUACACUAAGAUUCUUCUCCUAUGGUUGGUGAACUGCACAAGCUAGAAAUCACUUCCUGUACCCACUGGAUGCAACACUCCCCGUGUUGAGAAGUCAGACAGAUGCUGUCUGGAUAAUGAGGAGCUGGUUAGGAUUUCAUCAUUUCAUGAUUUUCAGCAUUUUAUGAAGAUCUCCAUAUUGCUAGACUGCAUUCAACUUUUCCAUGAGUGCUGCAGAAUAAGAAAGAAGAGAAAAAAGAAGUCUGUCUUCAGCUUUUCAAACCACACUGAGAAGAAGCAGGAUGAAAACCACUGAAGAUAGCCAUGAAGCAUAUUUUGAAGAACAUAAACCUUCCCCUCGAACAGGAGUGAGAGAACCCUGUGCAUUACAGCACCAAGCCUGUUACUUCUGGUGAAUCUCAGGCCUGGGUCUUUCAUUUAUUCUUAUCUCAAAAAAAAUAACUGGGGCUACUUUUUAAGUCACAUUGUCAUUGUGCCAUUCAAAGGGUACCAGAAGAAAUAAGAAAAUAGUUGUAGUAGGGAUACAGUCAGAAAUUUGAAAAUCCAAAUUGAAACAGCUUCCUUAGAGAAAGGAAAUUGUCAGUUUUUUGUUGCUCCUUUGUAUGGAGCAAAGGCGUAUUGUUAGCCCAGCCACAGGGAGCCUAACAGCAUACAUAUUUCACCUGUUUGUUACUCUCCUUGUCUUUUGGAAAGUUGCUUUUUUACUAACUGGGAUGUUCUUUUCCUGAGCUUACAAAUCUUCUCAGGGUUAGUAUCAUCUCCUUUGAAAAUCCAGUGAUAUGCCAAAGAUUAUUAAGGGUACAUUUUAAUAGCAGUAAGCUGGUUCAAUUUUCAUCAUGGAGAGUAAAGAGCAGUGAGAACAUUUACAGACAUCUCUGCAUAAUUUCAUUAUUAGUUGUAUUCCUCAGAAGGUGAAAAAUCAAGAGCACUAGGAUUAAGGGGAUAAGGAACCUAAAUGUUUGAUUAUGACAAAAUCCAUUAUUUAAAAACAACUUGAAAAGCAAAAACUGCUGCUCAGGCUUAUCAUUUAUUAGUGCGCACUCAUCAAAACAGAAUUGCAAUAGACUCGAUGCCACUUUCUUGUUUGUUUUUAUUUUGUUU